rnacentral:misc_RNA from 1 species
ACCACCUAACUUUUCCUUUUCUUUUUGCUCUCCUAUCUCCUCCGAAACCCAAACAGAAAAUCCGUUGCCCCUUUGAGAUUCUCUGAUCCUCAAUUUCUCAUCUAACUUAUCUAAAAUCCACAUUUGACAAAACCGCAAUAUGGGGAAUGCCCUGAGGUUACUCUAUGGAUAUUGUUGCAAGCCCACUACAACAGGGGACUCUGAAUCAUUGGGACCCCACGGCGUGUCUGCGGCCACCGUCAGUGUUUCAGCUCUUGCCCAAGAUUUGUUUAACUUUGAUAUCACCUCCCAGGUCCCCCAAGGGCUCAGUGAACAUGUGGUCUCUUCCAAGAAAGCUCAAGCUAACUGGUAUAGAAAGCUGUCAGAUGCAUGGAAAGAAGCAAAACCUCCACCAAGGACACCAGAAGAAGCUGCUAGACUUGUUAUUCAGACCUUGAAAAGACAUCAAACGGCAGAUGUUGAGGGAUUACUGGCUUUUUAUGGUCUCCCACUUCCUCAUACUCUUGUUCCACUUUCUACUGGGGUGCCAACAUCAUUACCCGAGGGGGUCAAGUUUGAGUUGCAGACUCUACCAGUGGAUGCAAAAGCUGUGCCUGAUGGAGACACAAUAUCUGUCUACGUUAGCACUGCUGAUCCUAGGGAGUCGUCCUGUGUUCCGAGGGAUGUUCAAAUGGCAGCUGUUCAAAGAUCAAAGGCGCGUGCAGAUAGGAAUUAUGAGAGAGCAGACGCACUCCACAAGAAAAUUAUUGACUCUGGAUAUAGGGUAAUUAAGGUUCAAAAUGAGGAGAUUCUUGCUCGAAAAUAUCGCAUUCGACUAAGGGGAAUAGAUGCACCAGAGAGUUCAAUGCCGUAUGGAAAAGAGGCACAAGAGGAGCUAGUUAAGCUUAUCCAGGGGAAGUGUCUAAGAAUCUUUGUUUAUGAGGAAGAUCGUUAUGGCCGUAGCGUUGGUGAUGUAUAUUGCAACGGCAUAUUUGCACAGGAAGUAAUGCUAAAGAAGGGGCUUGCAUGGCAUUAUACUGCUUAUGACCAACGAUUCGAACUGGCAACGUGGGAGAAAGAGGCUCGAGCAAAACGUGUAGGCUUAUGGGCUUCAUCGAAUCCUGAGAAGCCAUGGGAAUGGAGGAAGGACAGAAG